rnacentral:rRNA from 1 species
AACAAACGCUGGCGGCGUGCCUAAUACAUGCAAGUCGAACGGGUAGCAAUACCAGUGGCGCACGGGUGAGGAAUACAUAGAUAAUCUGCCCUCGAGUCGGGGAUAACCAGUCGAAAGAUUGGCUAAUACCGGAUAAGACCACAGGAGCUGAGGCUCUAGGGGUUAAAGGUUUUUCGCUUGAAGAUGAGUCUAUGCGAGAUUAGCUAGUUGGUGAGGUAAUGGCUCACCAAGGCGACGAUCUCUAACUGGUCUUAGAGGAUGAUCAGUCACACUGGAACUGAGACACGGUCCAGACUCCUACGGGAGGCAGCAGUAGGGAAUAUUGCGCAAUGGGGGAAACCCUGACGCAGCGACGCCGCGUGAGUGAUGAAGGCCUUCGGGUCGUAAAGCUCUGUCGUAUGGGAAUAACACAAUGAAUGUACCAUGCAAGAAAGGAUCGGCUAACUUCGUGCCAGCCGCCGCCGUAA